ACCUUAGCCGGCAGCAGGUACAUCUACCUGUCGGGCACGGACCGUGUGAUAAGGGCAAAACUUGGCAAAAUCGGCGUGCACUGCAUGAAGACGACGCAAGCCGUAGUUGUCUCCCUAUACGAGGACCCCAUACAGCCUCAACAGGCCGCAUCUGUCGUUGAAAAACUGGGCGAGUACCUCGUGUCCUGCGGCUAUUAGUAACCUCUGGGACCCAACACAAAUAUCUAAUAUUAAUAAUAAACGAUAUCGGUCGAUUAUUUUAA